GAUUAAGUUAUUAAGGGCGCACGGUGGAUGCCUUGGCACUAGAAGCCGAUGAAGGACGUUACUAACGACGAUAUGCUUUGGGGAGCUGUAAGUAAGCUUUGAUCCAGAGAUUUCCGAAUGGGGAAACCCAGCAUGAGUUAUGUCAUGUUAUCGAUAUGUGAAUACAUAGCAUAUCAGAAGGCACACCCGGAGAACUGAAACAUCUUAGUACCCGGAGGAAGAGAAAGAAAAUUCGAUUCCCUUAGUAGCGGCGAGCGAAACGGGAAGAGCCCAAACCAACAAGCUUGCUUGUUGGGGUUGUAGGACACUCUAUACGGAGUUACAAAGGACGACAUUAGACGAAUCAUCUGGAAAGAUGAAUCAAAGAAGGUAAUAAUCCUGUAGUCGAAAAUGUUGUCUCUCUUGAGUGGAUCCUGAGUACGACGGAGCACGUGAAAUUCCGUCGGAAUCUGGGAGGACCAUCUCCUAAGGCUAAAUACUCUCUAGUGACCGAUAGUGAACCAGUACCGUGAGGGAAAGGUGAAAAGCACCCCGGAAGGGGAGUGAAAUAGAACCUGAAACCGUGUGCUUACAAGUAGUCAGAGCCCGUUAAUGGGUGAUGGCGUGCCUUUUGUAGAAUGAACCGGCGAGUUACGAUUUGAUGCAAGGUUAAGCAGUAAAUGUGGAGCCGUAGCGAAAGCGAGUCUGAAUAGGGCGUUUAGUAUUUGGUCGUAGACCCGAAACCAGGUGAUCUACCCUUGGUCAGGUUGAAGUUCAGGUAACACUGAAUGGAGGACCGAACCGACUUACGUUGAAAAGUGAGCGGAUGAACUGAGGGUAGCGGAGAAAUUCCAAUCGAACCUGGAGAUAGCUGGUUCUCUCCGAAAUAGCUUUAGGGCUAGCCUCAAGUGAUGAUUAUUGGAGGUAGAGCACUGUUUGGACGAGGGGCCCCUCUCGGGUUACCGAAUUCAGACAAACUCCGAAUGCCAAUUAAUUUAACUUGGGAGUCAGAACAUGGGUGAUAAGGUCCGUGUUCGAAAGGGAAACAGCCCAGACCACCAGCUAAGGUCCCAAAAUAUAUGUUAAGUGGAAAAGGAUGUGGCGUUGCCCAGACAACUAGGAUGUUGGCUUAGAAGCAGCCAUCAUUUAAAGAGUGCGUAAUAGCUCACUAGUCGAGUGACACUGCGCCGAAAAUGUACCGGGGCUAAACAUAUUACCGAAGCUGUGGAUUGUCCUUUGGACAAUGGUAGGAGAGCGUUCUAAGGGCGUUGAAGCAUGAUCGUAAGAACAUGUGGAGCGCUUAGAAGUGAGAAUGCCGGUGUGAGUAGCGAAAGACGGGUGAGAAUCCCGUCCACCGAUUGACUAAGGUUUCCAGAGGAAGGCUCGUCCGCUCUGGGUUAGUCGGGUCCUAAGCUGAGGCCGACAGGCGUAGGCGAUGGAUAACAGGUUGAUAUUCCUGUACCACCUAUAAUCGUUUUAAUCGAUGGGGGGACGCAGUAGGAUAGGCGAAGCGUGCGAUUGGAUUGCACGUCUAAGCAGUAAGGCUGAGUAUUAGGCAAAUCCGGUACUCGUUAAGGCUGAGCUGUGAUGGGGAGAAGACAUUGUGUCUUCGAGUCGUUGAUUUCACACUGCCGAGAAAAGCCUCUAGAUAGAAAAUAGGUGCCCGUACCGCAAACCGACACAGGUAGUCAAGAUGAGAAUUCUAAGGUGAGCGAGCGAACUCUCGUUAAGGAACUCGGCAAAAUGACCCCGUAACUUCGGGAGAAGGGGUGCUCUUUAGGGUUAACGCCCAGAAGAGCCGCAGUGAAUAGGCCCAAGCGACUGUUUAUCAAAAACACAGGUCUCUGCUAAACCGUAAGGUGAUGUAUAGGGGCUGACGCCUGCCCGGUGCUGGAAGGUUAAGAGGAGUGGUUAGCUUCUGCGAAGCUACGAAUCGAAGCCCCAGUAAACGGCGGCCGUAACUAUAACGGUCCUAAGGUAGCGAAAUUCCUUGUCGGGUAAGUUCCGACCCGCACGAAAGGCGUAACGAUUUGGGCACUGUCUCAACGAGAGACUCGGUGAAAUCAUAGUACCUGUGAAGAUGCAGGUUACCCGCGACAGGACGGAAAGACCCCGUGGAGCUUUACUGUAGCCUGAUAUUGAAAUUCGGCACAGCUUGUACAGGAUAGGUAGGAGCCUUUGAAACGUGAGCGCUAGCUUACGUGGAGGCGCUGGUGGGAUACUACCCUAGCUGUGUUGGCUUUCUAACCCGCACCACUUAUCGUGGUGGGAGACAGUGUCAGGCGGGCAGUUUGACUGGGGCGGUCGCCUCCUAAAAGGUAACGGAGGCGCUCAAAGGUUCCCUCAGAAUGGUUGGAAAUCAUUCAUAGAGUGUAAAGGCAUAAGGGAGCUUGACUGCGAGACCUACAAGUCGAGCAGGGUCGAAAGACGGACUUAGUGAUCCGGUGGUUCCGCAUGGAAGGGCCAUCGCUCAACGGAUAAAAGCUACCCCGGGGAUAACAGGCUUAUCUCCCCCAAGAGUUCACAUCGACGGGGAGGUUUGGCACCUCGAUGUCGGCUCAUCGCAUCCUGGGGCUGUAGUCGGUCCCAAGGGUUGGGCUGUUCGCCCAUUAAAGCGGUACGCGAGCUGGGUUCAGAACGUCGUGAGACAGUUCGGUCCCUAUCCGUCGUGGGCGUAGGAAAUUUGAGAGGAGCUGUCCUUAGUACGAGAGGACCGGGAUGGACAUACCUCUGGUGUACCAGUUGUCGUGCCAACGGCAUAGCUGGGUAGCUAUGUGUGGACGGGAUAAGUGCUGAAAGCAUCUAAGCAUGAAGCCCCCCUCAAGAUGAGAUUUCCCAACUUCGGUUAUAAGAUCCCUUAAAGAUGAUGAGGUUAAUAGGUUCGAGGUGGAAGCAUGGUGACAUGUGUAGCUGACGAAUACUAAUCGAUCGAAGACUUAAUCAA
rnacentral:rRNA from 1 species